UACAGAGGGGGCAAGCGUUGUUCGGAAUUACUGGGCGUAAAGGGCGCGUAGGCGGCCUUCUAAGUCAUGCGUGAAAUCCCCGGGCUCAACCCGGGAACUGCGUCUGAUACUGGAAGGCUUGAAUCCGGGAGAGGGGUGCGGAAUUCCAGGUGUAGCGGUGAAAUGCGUAGAUAUCUGGAGGAACACCGGUGGCGAAGGCGGCAUCCUGGACCGGCAUUGACGCUGAGGCGCGAAAGCCAGGGGAGCAAACGGG
rnacentral:rRNA from 1 species